rnacentral:sRNA from 1 species
UAUUCUGCCCCAUGGGGAAGGAUGAGAAGCUUCGACUAAGGUUCGACUCGAGCGCCAGCGAGAGAACGUUGCCACAGGCAACGGCCCGAAGGGCGAGGCGCUU